CGUAUGACACGAGCGAUGGGCCCCGUGUAGGACGCCCAAACUAACAGUUGGUCCGUGGGAACAUAAGUUGCCUCGUGCUUGGACGGUAGUACAGAAUUAUUUUCCGUCCGCUCGUUCAUUGCAGGAGACGCGUGCUUUUCUGUCUGAUGGGUCGGGCCUCGGGGAUGGGGCCGGGGCCAUGGCGACGACGGCGGCGACGACAACGACUGUGGCGGCGAACGACGCGGUGGAAGGGAAUGCUCUGGUGGAGUUCCCGGUGGAUCUGGUAGUCAGCCUGGUAGGUUGCCUAUCUUCCAAAAUGCGAUACACGUGGCAACGCCGGAUCUCGAUGGAGGGAACGAGGUGAGUAGCCGUCGGGACGAUGUGGCUCCAGAGUCUUCUGUGGCUGCGCCUACGGAAUCGGGUGAAUCCGGAUCCAAGAGCGCGUGAGAUUUAGAGGUAAUAAUCAUGCUUGUUGUGUGCUAUUUCUGUGUGGAUUACCCAUGCGUGCUACGACUGCAAAAAUAGAAAAUCUGAAAGAAUGGAAAGAGAUGUGUAGUGUGUCAUAUCAGUGAUGAACAGGAGGAAAAGAAUGAGGAAGUUAGCUCAUAGGAUGUUUGUGGACUAGGUCGUGGGCGGUGUGUAUAUUUUCUUGCUUUGCCAUUGUUGGUGGUGACGUGAAUAACGUUGAAGGCAGAUGAGUACUCUGGUUGCAGAUAAUGUGUGGCGGAAAUCUUACUGCAAUCCUGUGUAACUCAGGGAAACGUUAGCUCUAGAAAAAUGACAUCAAUCUUGCCAUUGCUGAAAAUUGGACGAAAAUGAAUAGACAGCUUGCAGUUGAUAGAAUUUCCCAGUGUCGGAAAUUCUCCAUUUUCUCUUGCUCUUUGCUACUCCCUCCGUCCUAAAAUUCUUGUCUUAAAAUUGUUUAGAUGUGGAUGUAUCAAGUCAUUUAAGACAAGAAUUUUGGGACGGAGGGAGUAUUAAUUUUGAGCCAAAUGCUUGUGACAUGCUAUAUGACAGUCUCACAAUUGUCAUAUAUAUUUAAAUCCAGACGUGUUUAUAGUUUUUGGGAUGGGCAAUGGUGUUUUUCAAUCCAUAUGAUUAACGUACGAGUUUACAUAACCAUGAUGCAUUGGCUAGUUAUGGACAAUCUUUCUUCUUCUUUUUUGCAAGGGAUCACAGAAACACCGGAGAGCCAUGUAGUAACUAGUAAAACCGUGGACACGACAAACCAGAAAUAUUUUGCCAGAUGACCUGAAGCACUACCAGCAGGACCAGAUCAAUCGCAUGUCACUAGCAUUUCGGCACAGCAGAAUGUAUGUUAAGGCAUUGGAGCUGGUUCAACUUUGGGAUGCAAGUGUAGAGGCGUAUGGAACUGUGAUGGGCCUUUUCGAGCAUAACCCGUCGGUGAUGGCUCCAUUCAACAAGUGUCGUGACGGGCUGGGACUUGAGGACCGGGCUGGCAGCAAGAAGGUGACAGAAGCCGGCACAUAAUGAGGAAAAGAAAGUGCACCUUCUGAUGCUGGACUGUAGGGGAGCGUGAACCCUCUCUUUGGUUUAACGACACCAAGCAAGAAGAGAGUUGUUGGCAGACCAACGAAUGCACGGGGCAAAGCUCCUUUCUAGGGAUGAGCAAGAGAUCUAGGUUUUGCAACAUUUGCAAAACCUAGAGCCACCAAAAAAGACCUGCCACGGAUAGAGGUGAUCUCCCCAAGCAAUCCAGGAAGGAAGCCAAAUGCAGCAGGUGUGGUGUCCCCAAGCAUAGGAAGAACACGUUGAUACAUCUCCAAUGUAUCUACUUUUUCUCACGCUUUUUCUCUUGUUUUGGACUCUAAUUUGCAUAAUUUGAAUAAAACUAACCCCGGA